UUACAAGCAGUCACACUUCAACUGUGAAACUCCCUUGUCCUUAUGGUGUAUUGACACUAUUGAAACUUUUCAAAAGCAGUCUAAUGUUAGAAGAGCUUUUAGGUAAACUGUUAUUAUUCUUCUUAUCAUUAUUAUAUAUUUUAUUAAUUAUAUUUUUAUUAUGAUGUUGAUUUGGGUGACAAUUAUUUGAUAAAUAUUAUGUAUUAAUUUUUUAAACAUAUUAACCAUCCCUAUGCUUAAAUAAAUAAAAUUGUUCUUUUAAACUUGUGCAUUGUUUGACUUUUAAAAUUUUUGUAUCAGGUGUAAAAUGACUUUUUAAAUAAAGUUGUUUUUAAUGUGAGCAGCUCCUAUUGGCUCGUUUAAAAACAGGGAGGAGCAGAUUGCACUGCCUAGCGUCUAGUCUUCGCGGUCUUUCGUCAGUUGCGCCUUUUCUCUCCCUGGUGUUUGAGAACGUAGAGGACAAAAGGAUACCAAAGAAUCGAAAACUAUGACAAAGAUUCUUCAAGAUCACAAGCACCAUCUUUAGCAUGUUGCCAUGGUAGCAGAUACAGGGGGAACAAGUGUAGACGAUGCCACAAGAAGGAUGAUGAAAUUCCUCAUAUCACCUGAGCUGGCUGUGGAGUACAGUAUGCUUGGCCGACAUGGGGAAAAAAAAGUUCAGAGAUUUGCGUCUUUUUAAUAUUGUGUAUGAGGCACUGAAGAAGAAUUAUUUAACAUCAGAAGUCAACUUGCAAGAAGCAGAGAAGGCUCUGUCCAAGUGGUUCACUGGAGCUAAAGACAGAGGAGGACCGAGGGCUGCAAGGGUACAAAAUAGACUUACGGCUCUGUAA
rnacentral:lncRNA from 1 species